rnacentral:rRNA from 1 species
ACAUGAAGCUGGAAUCGCUAGUAAUCGCGGAUCAGAAUGCCGCGGUGAAUACGUUCCCGGGUCUUGUACACACCGCCCGUCACACCAUGGGAGUCGGAAAUGCCCGAAGCCUGUGACCCAACCUGAGAGGGAGGGAGCAGCCGAAGGCAGGUCGGAUGACUGGGGUGAAGUCGUAACAAGGUACC